rnacentral:rRNA from 1 species
GAUGAACGCUAGCGAUAGGCUUAACACAUGCAAGUCGAGGGGCAGCAUGGUCUUAGCUUGCUAAGACUGAUGGCGACCGGCGCACGGGUGCGUAACGCGUAUGCAACUUGCCUCACAGAGGGGGAUAACCCGUCGAAAGACGGACUAAUACCGCGUACACUCCAUCUUGGGCAUCCAAGGUAGAGGAAAUGAAAUUCGCUGUGAGAUAGGCAUGCGUCCCAUUAGCUAGUUGGUGAGGUAACGGCUCACCAAGGCGACGAUGGGUAGGGGAACUGAGAGGUUGAACCCCCACACUGGUACUGAGACACGGACCAGACUCCUACGGGAGGCAGCAGUGAGGAAUAUUGGUCAAUGGGCGAGAGCCUGAACCAGCCAAGUCGCGUGAAGGAUGACUGUCUUAUGGAUUGUAAACUUCUUUUAUACGGGAAUAACAAGAGUCACGUGUGACUCCCUGCAGGUACCGUAUGAAUAAGCAUCGGCUAACUCCGUG